rnacentral:rRNA from 1 species
AUUGAACGCUGGCGGCAUGCUUUACACAUGCAAGUCGAACGGUAACAGGCCUUCGGGUGCUGACGAGUGGCGCACGGGUGAGUAAUGCAUCGGAACGUACCCAGGGGUGGGGGAUAACGCAGCGAAAGCUGUGCUAAUACCGCAUGUGAUCUGAGGAUGAAAGCGGGGGACCGAGCAGCAAUGUUUGGCCUCGCGCCUUUGGAGCGGCCGAUGUCGGAUUAGCUAGUUGGUGGGGUAAAGGCCUACCAAGGCGACGAUCCGUAGCUGGUCUGAGAGGACGACCAGCCACACUGGGACUGAGACACGGCCCAGACUCCUACGGGAGGCAGCAGUGGGGAAUUUUGGACAAUGGGCGCAAGCCUGAUCCAGCAAUGCCGCGUGCGGGAAGAAGGCCUUCGGGUUGUAAACCGCUUUUGGCAGGAACGAAACGGUGUCCGCUAAUACCGGGCGCUAAUGACGGUACCUGCAGAAUAAGCACCGGCUAACUACGUG